UGGUGUGAGUGAUCCUUUGACUUACGGUGCAUUGACUAUUUGCAGUGAGGCUAUUGAGUUUGAUUGCAUAUUUUUUUGGUCCCUAGCUAUUCGGAUCCUUAUUGUGUAUGUUGGCUACAGUAGGUUCAGAUUUACUGUUGGAAGUAUGAUGUAUCUAAAUGGAAUCUAUCGAUCUUGAUAGAAAAUGAAUAAUCCUAUGCAAUACGCGAGACUAAGU
rnacentral:lncRNA from 1 species